CACCCCGCCCCCGGGCGCUGCGGACCCAGGCGAUAGAAGGGAGCUGAUUGGAACGUGCAGACCCUGCAACCCCAGGCUUGGGCCGGGCAGCGUGGGGCUCACUGAAGUCCGCAUACCCGACCGGUAGAGUCGGGGCAGGUGUCGGUUCAGGGGCCCGGGAGGUCCCGGCAUCGGGCCGUGAGCGGAAGCACCUCUGGGAACCCCUCCCCAGCCAUGGACAGCCCCAGUCUUCCAGAACUGCAACAGCCUCUGCUGGCAGGUGUAGGCUCCACCUGCCCCGUCCAGAAGCCUGGAGAACCUGAGCCGGAUCCCCUCUUUGGAGAGACAGCUUUUGCAGAGUCCCUAAGGGGUUGGCAGUUUCUGCCACCACCUCUUCCCUCUGUGAGCACUGGUCUGGGGCAGCCAGGGCACCCUGACCUUGAGGAUGCAUCAAGUGACAGCGACUCGGACUGGGACAGGGACAGCCUUCUCUCCCCUCUCCUACCCCAUGACCACCUGGGCUUGGCUGUUUUCUCCGUGCUGUGCUGCUUCUGGCCGGUGGGCAUUGCUGCCUUUUGCUUGGCCCAAAAGAGAAACAUUGAUGUGAAAGAGGAAUACUGAUUGGCUAGCUGUCUUCUCGCAUGUGCCCCAACCGACCAGGAAUCAAACCCGCAACCUGGCUCUUCCAACAUUGACCGUUGUAACCAGUUCCCUGCAUUAAACUCUCUGCUGGAAAUCCCCCAGUGGUUUCUGCUUUCCUGACUGGAUGUGAGUGGGCAAAUAACUCAGAGUAACCACAGUCCCAGGAUACUGUGAACUUGAGCUGAUGAGGAAUGCUCUCUCUUCCUGUGCUUCUGAGCCUCCUAAGAUAUAAGCACAGCUUAAGCGGCCAAUCAUAGCCUCAGGAGAGAUACUGGCCAGAGGUAGUGGAGCCAGCUGCAGAAAAGAGCAGGCACUAACAAACGCAAAGGAAAUCCUGAUGGAGUCUGAGGCCCUGGCUCAAUUUCCAUUCUUUGAGUUUGGUUCUGAAUGCCAAUAAACUCCGUUUGC